GCUGCCGGGAGACUCUGCUUCCGGGCCCAGACCCAACCCUGAGAGUGUCUUCUGACUACUUGCGCGUGACCCCAUCAAACUCCCAGGGCGCCCGGGGUGCACUGCCCUUCCCAAAUUGCCUUCAGAGACUUGAGAACUUUGUGCAAUGGAGUGGCCCUGGAAUUGGGAAACACCACAGAUAAAAUAAGAAGCAUGAGGAUGCCUGUGUUGGAUGCCUGGACAACCAGCAGGGAUAAUAUCCCUGUGGCCAUCUUCCAUUGGACCAGCUGUUCCUACUUCUGAGCAGUGACCACAACUCUGAGCUCCUCCUGCUGCUCUGGACAACUGUUAAGACCCAAGAACCUUUAGCGACAUGCACAUUCAGCCAGGAGAGGGCGCACAAGCACCAAUUUUAUUCACUUUUUGGGAGUGGCCCCAAAAGUGCCAUUGGUGACACUCCUCCAAAGAAGGGAUUCUGAAAGUUCAGAAAGGAGUUUUUCACUGUUUUUUUUCUCUUCUGCCAAUAUUAACUAGUAAACAGAAAUAAAACUA